UACGAAGGGGGCUAGCGUUGCUCGGAAUUACUGGGCGUAAAGCGCACGUAGGCGGCUUUCUAAGUCGGGGGUGAAAUCCUGGAGCUCAACUCCAGAACUGCCUUCGAUACUGGAGAGCUUGAGUCCGGGAGAGGUGAGUGGAACUGCGAGUGUAGAGGUGAAAUUCGUAGAUAUUCGCAAGAACACCAGUGGCGAAGGCGGCUCACUGGCCCGGUACUGACGCUGAGGUGCGAAAGCGUGGGGAGCAACAGG
rnacentral:rRNA from 1 species